rnacentral:rRNA from 1 species
GAUGAACGCUGGCGGCGUGCCUAAUACAUGCAAGUCGAGCGAACGGACGAGAAGCUUGCUUCUCUGAUGUUAGCGGCGGACGGGUGAGUAACACGUGGAUAACCUACCUAUAAGACUGGGAUAACUUCGGGAAACCGUAGCUAAUACCGGAUAAUAUUUUGAACCGCAUGGUUCAAAAGUGAAAGACGGUCUUGCUGUCACUUAUAGAUGGAUCCGCGCUGCAUUAGCUAGUUGGUAAGGUAACGGCUUACCAAGGCAACGAUGCAUAGCCGACCUGAGAGGGUGAUCGGCCACACUGGAACUGAAACACGGUCCAGACUCCUACGGGAGGCAGCAGUAGGGAAUCUUCCGCAAUGGGCGAAAGCCUGACGGAGCAACGCCGCGUGAGUGAUGAAGGUCUUCGGAUCGUAAAACUCUGUUAUUAGGGAAGAACAUAUGUGUAAGUAACUGUGCACAUCUUGACGGUACCUAAUCAGAAAGCCACGGCUAACUACGUG